CUGGUUUGUGGAUUUUCGGAAGUCCAUAAGCCCGAGACUAUCAAGUUGAUUAAGACCCGAAGAGAGAUUACUAAUGAUUGGCAUAGCAUGGUUCCUGACAUCCAGACGACUACUAAUAUAUUAGCCAAAGACGAAUAAAAACUAUUCAAUCUAAUAUCAGAAGAAUCAAUGCGAAUCUCAACUCUGUUUCCAUCUAAGUAGUGAUCACCAGGUCUAGAGCGCACAGACUCAUC